rnacentral:rRNA from 1 species
GACGAACGCUGGCGGCGUGCUUAACACAUGUAAGUCGAACGAUGAACCCGGAGCUUGCUCCGGUGGAUUAGUGGCGAACGGGUGAGUAACACGUGAGUAACCCGCCCUUGACUCUGGGAUAACUGCGGGAAACUGUAGCUAAUACCGGAUACGACCCUCGGCGGCAUCGCCAGGGGGUGGAAAGAAUUUCGGUCAAGGAUGGACUCGCGGCCUAUCAGCUAGCUGGUGAGGUAACGUCUCACCAAGGCGACGACGGGUAGCCGGCCUGAGAGGGUGACCGGCCACACUGGGACUGAGACACGGCCCAGACUCCUACGGGAGGCAGCAGUGGGGAAUAUUGCACAAUGGGCGCAAGCCUGAUGCAGCAACGCCGCGUGAGGGAUGACGGCCUUCGGGUUGUAAACCUCUUUUAGUAGGGAAGAAGCGAAAGUGACGGUACCUGCAGAAAAAGCACCGGCUAACUACGUGCCAGCCGCCGCAGUAA